AAACCCCCAUGUUUAAAAAAAAAAACACCGAAAUAUUAAUUAAAAAAAUAAAGGCCGCGCCUACUCGCAUUUAGGCACACUUCCGGUUUAGGCUCCGCCUAAUUCUAAUGAGCUACACCUGUGUAUGCAUUAUGAUACAAACAGGUGUUCCCGGGCAACGGGAGUACUUUUGGGCCCUUAUUUCCCCAAAUUGAUGGCAACUCACCUCCACGUCCACACGCAUGCAUGCCUCCACGCGAGGCGGCGUGUGGUAGUCCAGCCCUGACGUCACCUGCUUCUCCACGAAGCUGCGGUAGGCCUCCGGGUCGCUCAGGCAGAGAACAUCCAGCAUGGACCACAGCCGGCUCACCUGCUCCACCACGUCUGCGCUGCGGCCGCUGGACAUUCUUCUCGCCCUCACCCAAACACCAUCCAGCCGAGAAAUUCGGCCACUUUGGUGUAGACUCCGGGGUGGUUGGGCUCAGCGCAGCCAUUCCCCCAGCUGACAACCCCCAUCAAUCUCCACACGUUGUCAUCCUGGCACACCAAAGGACCGCCACUGUCCCCCUAUGCCGGCGUUGAAUACAGAUGUUGACUGACAGCCCCAGACUUCCCGAUGCCGACAAUCUUCCAAACGUCUCCGCAAGCAUCCAAACUUUUGAUCAUCAGUCGCAGUCUCGGGCUCCCUGCUUGCGAAUCCCCCACGCCAGUUUCUGACUCAACAGGAACGAGGAACGCUGCUUUCAAGGCGGCUUGGAUGACGUACACCUUGCCGUUUGUUGUCAAAGUCCACCGAGCCCACUGAGGCACUUAGAAUUGUUCUGUUUCAUGAGCCUGUUGACGGUGAACUGGCAAGGUUGCGUCAGGUUUCAGGUUGGGUCCAGGAUCAGGUUGUAGAUUUCAAGCUUUGCAAAAUUAGUUGGCCCUUCGGUUUGUUUAUUAUUGGAAUUUGCCAGGGCUUAAUGUUUAACCUCUAUUGAGUGUUGUUAAAAGAAAAUGUGAUGUAACACAGUGGUGAACAUGCCCUUUCCCAACUACUUUGGCACAUGUUGCAGCCAUGAAAUUCUAAGUUAAUUAUUAUUUGCAAAAAAAAUAAAG